UGUAAUGAUAGAGGUGCGAUGUUUAAUAGUACCAUUAUGGAGGUAAGCGCUAUGAAGUAAUGGAAAAGGAAUCAUCGCCGAAGUGUAUAGUUAAUGCUUUAAGGACUAUAUUGCUGGGCUUGCAUAAAAUAUAUGUAAGACUGUCACAGUGUUGUGGAGUGCUAUCCGAAGU
rnacentral:ncRNA from 1 species